rnacentral:rRNA from 1 species
UACGGAGGGUGCAAGCGUUGUCCGGAUUUAUUGGGUUUAAAGGGUGCGUAGGCGGCCCAUUAAGUCAGCGGUGAAAGCCCGGGGCUCAACCCCGGAACCGCCGUUGAUACUGGUGGGCUUGAGUACAGACGAGGUUGGCGGAAUUGAGGGUGUAGCGGUGAAAUGCUUAGAUACCCUCAAGAACACCGAUUGCGUAGGCAGCUAACUAGGCUGUAACUGACGCUGAGGCACGAAAGCGUGGGGAGCGAAC